rnacentral:rRNA from 1 species
UGCGUAGGCGGCCCUGUAAGUCAGCGGUGAAAUACGGCAGCUCAACUGUCGAGGUGCCGUUGAUACUGCGGGGCUUGAGUGUUGACGAGGCAGGCGGAAUUGACGGUGUAGCGGUGAAAUGCUUAGAUAUCGUCAAGAACACCGAUAGCGAAGGCAGCCUGCCAGGCAACAACUGACGCUGAGGCACGAAAGUGCGGGGAUCAAACA